rnacentral:rRNA from 1 species
ACUUUAUAAAGAGUUUGAUCCUGGCUCAGGACGAACGCUGGCGGCACGCUUAACACAUGCAAGUCGAACGGAGAAUAUUUGGUUUACUGAGUAUUCUUAGUGGCGGACGGGUGAGUAACACGUGAGCAACCUGCCUUUGAG